UGUCUCCUGGCCUGGCUGAGAAGCCAUGGGGGAAGGCAGGAUGUUCUGGGAAGGGAGCAGGGGCAUUGUGGAGUACCAGAGUUGUGAAGCCUCAGCUGGCCUAACUGGGGUCUCUCCCUCUCUCUAGGGUGGCUAGCAGUGAAUCCUGGCCCCUGGGCAGCCACUCUCACUCCUCUUACGCCCUGCUCCUGAGACUCAAGGCUUCCGAAGAUUGACUCAGGUCUUUGCUGCUUCCCUGCUAUCCCUUGGGAGCUCCGCAGGAGGCAGAAGCCAGGAGCAGAAAGAAAGCGCAAGCUGCAAAGCAAAACUAACUGCAUGGGAUGCCAGGGACAAAAGGAUGGAGGAAGGCUUGGAUGGGUGAAUGCACUGCCCUGCCAUGGAUUUUCUAUAGGCGGGACAGGCAGGAGCAACCCUGUCAGAAGAACCCAGAGGGGCCCAGCUGCUGCAAGCUCAAGAAGCCAGAUAGAUAGAAGCAGGACCAGUUCUCAUAUUAAAUACUUUCACUGUGAAACUGUUACACCACUGGACCCAUGGGCCGGCUGCAGGGCUUUUGGGGGAGUUGUGCUGUGAGAGGUUAGCUGCACAGGGGGCACCUGGCUGCAAGGAGCAGGCCAAAGAUGGGGCAUCAUGCUUGGAGGAGCUGGGAAAGGGGAGCCAUGUUUGGGGAGCAGAGC